GCAAAGGAUCCACUGGUGAGCAAAUGAUUUAAUGCUGAAUUUCUCCAAAUCUCAACUACAUCUUGGACGGCCUGAGGGUGAGUACAUAUUCAGCGUAAUUUCUUCUUUAGUGCUAGUCUUUUAAGUGGUAGAUGCGUUCGACUAAAUUUCACAGCCUUCGAAAGGUCACGUUGCAAUUAUAUAGCGCUCAACAAAAAAAGGCCUAAGCUUAAAAGUGUUAAAUAUAGUUACUCGGAUCCUUUGUUCAGUUUGCCAAACUGCGACGUAGGCAUCACGGUGGCUUGUCAUUAUAACAGCAUUUAAUGAUUAUGUAUUAUUAUCUUGGCUUAUAUCUACGUGCGGUUGGAGACUAAUGGCCAUAGCAACAGACACCGCGAGGUGUUUCUCGACACCCGACGAACGUGAUUGAGGUUGGAGCGUUGGCAAGCUGUCGGCACACCACAGUCAUCCUGGCACUGGGAAGGAGCUAGUCAGCGUCACCAGCCCCACACGAGUACGAUAUCCACCUGGUUUUUGAGACAAAUAGGUUUCACUGAGAGACGGCGGGGUCGUGCCACAAAGGAGAGGAGCGAAAGAAAACAUCUCCAAACGAGGCCACAAACCAGAUCUCUGUCUCUUUCUGUCUUGCUCGUUUGCUUAUGCACCAGCAAAUGGCUGUAUUCAGUGUUUUACACUCUUCAAAUUAACAUCAAUUACUGGAAGACGUCAGUUUUUCCUCGAAUGUUAAUUAGAGGCUAAUGAUUGAGGUUGAGCAGUAUGUGUGAAAUGCAUCAUGGCUAAUGAAAGACGAAUGUUGUUUAUCAUUUGUGCAGCCAUCGCUUUCAUUUAAAGAUUAAGUGUGGGGUUUCGUCGCAUUUUCAGUUUUUGGAAGUCCCCAGAGAUGAGGUUCGCAUGCAAGAAGUAGUCAAGGCCUGGCCUGUGUGCUCGCUAGUAGCAUUA